rnacentral:rRNA from 1 species
GACGAACGCUGGCGGCGUGCUUAACACAUGCAAGUCGAACGGAAAGGCCCUGCUUUUGUGGGGUGCUCGAGUGGCGAACGGGUGAGUAACACGUGAGUAACCUGCCCUUGACUUUGGGAUAACUUCAGGAAACUGGGGCUAAUACCGGAUAGGAGCUCCUGCUGCAUGGUGGGGGUUGGAAAGUUUCGGCGGUUGGGGAUGGACUCGCGGCUUAUCAGCUUGUUGGUGGGGUAGUGGCUUACCAAGGCUUUGACGGGUAGCCGGCCUGAGAGGGUGACCGGCCACAUUGGGACUGAGAUACGCCCCAGACUCCUACGGGAGGCAGCAGUGGGGAAUAUUGCACAAUGGGCGGAAGCCUGAUGCUGCAACGCCGCGUGCGGGAUGACGGCCUUCGGGUUGUAAACCGCUUUCGCCUGUGACGAAGCGUGAGUGACGGUAAUGGGUAAAGAAGCACCGGCUAACUACGUG